rnacentral:rRNA from 1 species
AACGCGAAGAACCUUACCUGGGCUUGACAUGUGAGUGACCGCCGUGGAAACACGGUUUCCCUUCGGGGCACUUUCACAGGUGGUGCAUGGCUGUCGUCAGCUCGUGUCGUGAGAUGUUGGGUUAAGUCCCGCAACGAGCGCAACCCCCGUCGCAUGUUGCCAGCAUUUAGUUGGGGACUCAUGCGAGACUGCCGGUGACAAACCGGAGGAAGGUGGGGAUGACGUCAAGUCAUCAUGCCCCUUAUGUCCAGGGCUACACACGUGCUACAUUGGCGCGUACAGAGGGCUGCGAUACCGCGAGGUGGAGCGAAUCCCUUAAAGCGCGUCUCGGUUCGGAUUGCAGGCUGAAACCCGCCUGCAUGAAGGCGGAGUUGCUAGUAAUCGCGGAUCAGCACUGCCGCGGUGAAUACGUUCCCGGGCCUUGUA